AGGAGGAUGGUGACAGUUACUUAGAGAGGAAUGCUUGAGAAAUGGAUUCAGGAUGGCUGGAAGGAUUUCAUCCAGUAGGUGAUAGGGCACAUAAGACGUGGGAUAAUUGCAGUGGGAUAAAGGGUGGAUUUUGAGGGCUGUGGAAGAAGGUGCAGGUUGAAGCGAGCCAAGUUUCUGAAUGAGGAUCCAGAAGAACGAAGGGCUCCCGAGUGACAAAAGCAAGAGGAGAGGAAAUAAGAAAAGAAGGAAGUGAAGACGAAAAAUCUUUGCCUCCCUGAGAUCGUCACUCCUAGCCUCUUCUGGAAGCUCUCUGAGAGCUGAGAAAUUUGUUAUCUCUCUUACAAGAAGCCUGCACAAGCACAAGGCCAAGACUUGGGCAGUAUUCAGUGAAAGUCUUUCAGAUUGCACUGCACAGUAUACAAAUUAUGAAUCAAACAAUCAGAUUUGUUGUUGGCUGGAUUACAUUUUCUUGGGAGAUCAGAUGCAUUCCACCGAGGCCAUAGAAAGAAAAGUGAAGACCAAGACACUGUGACAAAUGCCAGCUAUCUUGUUCCAGCACAGCCGUCCAGCUCAGACCUGUGCUGUGGUGUCCCCGGAAGCCCCCUCGCCUCGCAGGCCUUUCUCGGAUUCCACGGAAGGGAGCUAGCACAGAUGGGCAGUUCUUUUCUAGUGGCGUCUCAGUCGACCUCGGGAGGGCAGGCCUGUGUCUCACCUGGUUUGAAAAUGGGAUCAAGAGCUUUGACACCUUGCAUUCUUAGCAUGACAUGACGGU